GCUAGGCAUAGCAGUGCAUGCCUGUAACCUUAGCUACUGGGGAGGCUAAGAUAGGAGGAUAGCAAAUUUGAGGCCAGCCUCAGCAACUUAGCAAGACCCUAUCUCAA
rnacentral:sRNA from 1 species